rnacentral:misc_RNA from 1 species
CAGAGCUCUGGGGACGACUCC